UCUUCCUUCGGCGCGGCGAGCAGAGGUGGCGGUGCUGCCCCUUUCCUCCGCUCCCCCCCCCGCCUCCACGAGGAGGCUCCUGGUGUGCGCGGCUGGCCCGGCUCGCUCCUCCCCUUCCCUCUCCGCUCCUCGUCAGGAGGAGGGAGGGAGAUGGGACUUGCUGGUUGGGCCCUAACCUCCACAACCCCUCCUUCUAGCCUCCCUCUUUCGGCCUUUCCCCUCUUCGGCCCUGACGCAAGGCCGGGGGCGCGCACGCACGUCGCGCUCCGAGAAAGCCCAAGGUGAGUGGUGUCAGGGGCAAAGGAGGCGGGAACAAAGUUGCCGCGCACGGGCGUGCUCGCUCCCGCCAAGCGACGGGCGUCUGGCCCGGAAGUGAGGGAACGUAGAGACGGCUCCACUUCCGAUGGGGGUGGGACUCUGUGAAGAAGAGUUAAAGAAAGGAGAGGGUUCGUGCGCCGCCUACUGCUGUCGCUGGAGAGUCUCGGGGUGACGGAGCGCCGGUCGUGCCUGUUGCUUGCGUCCAGCGCGCAGCACCGGCUCUGGAUCUUCGCAGGCGCCGCACGGCGAGAGCAAGAAUCUGGAGACUCAGGAAUAAUGCCAUUAAUGGCCUUCUGGGCUGGAUAAUCACCCCGUCGUCUCCUCUCAGCCAAGCCCGGACGGAGGUUGGAACAGCUGCGAAAGAGGGAGAGGGCACCCUGCAAAAGAGGGCGGAGAUGGCGUUAGCUUAAACUAUCUCUUGUACACCCAAGUUCCAGGCCCCAUCUUGACCUAAAAACACAGUUGGAAAUCCCAGUCUGGCGCUUCCAUUAACACUGAAGUUUAAAAAAAAAAGUUAAUACGAGGAAUAAUGAAACGUCGAAAGGAACUCCGGGAAACCCCAAAAUUUUUACCGGCGGCCUUGAAGUCAAAACAUCUCGCUCAAAUGAGAGCUGCCCUCUUGGCACUUCACCCUCUUUCACCUUAACUAUCCAAAACUGUGGGGCUGCAAAGCGUAACCAUUCGGUGACCUCACGUCUCAUUUCUUGCAUUACCAGGUGUACGCGAAGUGAAUCAGUUAUACAUACGCAUAUACCCACUCUUUUUUAGAUUCCUUUCCCAUAUAGGCCAUUACAGAGUAUUGAGUAGAGUUCCCUGUGCUACACAGCAGGUCCUUAUUAGUGGCUGUGGGAGUUUAAUAUUGGUUGCAAAGAGAAGCUGAGCAGUGCAUUCAAUGGCUACAUGUAGUCACCCGUUUUCAAGUUUAUUUGUUCAGUGCAUCGGUUGGUUCUUAGUUCUUAAACACUUAGUACCCAUCCAUCAUUCAUGCCUUAAUAAUUUUAAUACACUAACACUGUAUCUCAGUCUGGACUCGCCUAAGCAGAAAUCAGGCUUCACUGAAAGAGUACAAAGGGUGUUUGCUGAAGAAUAAAGGAGGAGGCAAAGGAGUAGGUAAUCUUGAAGGCAGUUCAUUUCCCAGGAGGAUAGGCCCCGGGUGGGCCACACAGUGGGACCUACCACGCAGCCAGAAGGAUGUGGUAAAUGCACUGGAAAACUGAAUAGAAAAGUAAGGGACAAGGUGCCUAAAAACGUUUCUCCUUGGCAGUAUUGCUGCCUGAAGUUCCUACAACCUAAACCAGUUAGCGAGAGGCUUUUUCCAAAAAAUUACGAUCAACCUGCCCCAUCAUCCUACUUUGAAAAGCCUGGAGUAACAGAACAAGGAGAGCAAAAUGGAUUUAUCUAGCAGUUCGUCACAUACGACCAACUCCAGCUUAAAACUACAUCUCCCAGCAGUCUCUGCAGAUGAAGGACCUGACCAUGCUAUGCAGUCCUGGCCAACGAAAU